ensembl:lncRNA
UGACUCUUAGUUCUACUUUCUAGUCAAAUCCUCUGUUGAAAUCGUUUAAAUGCUGCCAAGAAAGGUUCGUUAGAACACUUCUCUUAUUUUAAGCGUCCAGGCUCUGUUUCCAUAAGAUACAAGAGGCUGGUCAGGCAUCCUCCACCACAUGCUAAACACGACUUAUAGCAGCCUGUGUGGAUGAGUUACUCCCCAUGAAGGCCCUGCCCCACUCUGUGUCCGUGUCCAGAGCAGGCUACAUGGGCCAAAGCAGGGCCCAGGAAAGUGCAAGGCACAGAGGAGUGGUGUCCGUGGGUCUGAGCUCACCGUGGACCUGCCCGGCCCACCUCUAAUUUCCUGGCUCCCUGCCUUUCAGUCAGCGUUUCUCGCAGUUGUAUUCAUCUGUUUGUGAGAUCAUUUUGAUCCGUCUCUCUCUUCCCUGGUAGAUAGUGUGCUCCAGUACAACAGGCCAGAACUCUUUUGCUUCCCACUGUAGAUGCCCCUGAAUAUUCAUUGGAAACACUGAAGCUGAAGCUGAAGCUCCAGUGCUUUGGCCACCUGUUGCAGAGAGCUGACUCACUGGAGAAGACCCUGAUGCUGGGAAAGACUGAGGGCAGGAGCAGAAGAGGGUAACAGAGAAGGACAUGAUUGGAUGGCGUCCUCAACUCAAUGAACAUGAGUUUGAGCAAGCUCCAGGACAUAGUGAAGGACAGGGAGGCCUGGCAUGCUGCAGUCUGUGGGGUCGCAGAGAGUUCGACACGACUGAGUGACUCAACAGCCAGCAACAUAGAUGCCCCAGCCGUUGCCCCAGAAAGGUUCUGCUUCUGUGGAAACCCAACCUGCAAACCACUGAAAAGAGUGGAAUACCCUCUCUAAUGAAGAGUGUAAACCCUGGCACGGAACAGUUAACAGAAUCCCAGAAGAGAACCCAGUUUCUUCCUGUUGUCUUAUACUUGGCUGAGACCUCCAGAAACGUGAUAAAUAUCGCUGAGUGGUAACUAUCCCUAUAAUUUAGGUAAAAGUUGAUCUUUGGGUUCUAGGACUAUUAAACUAAUUAGCCUGUAUGUAUCAAGUCUGUCUGUUCAAGCACUCCCAUGCUGUCUCUUAACUUGUUGAUGUACCCAGGGAUACGGAAUUCAAGGUGGACGUUUUCAACUGCACACAGCAGAGGCGGAAUGAGAAGGUGAUGGGUGCGCUUUUGUAGGUGGUAUUCACUUGUAGUUUCCAGCCUCAGACAUAUUCCUGUUCUAUUCGCAAUUUCCUAUUCCUGCUAACUUCUAUCACCAGAGAAGAAAAAUAAUUAGGAACCCUCAUAUUCUGCUCUUUUCAUAUCUGUCCUGUCCCCAGAAAACUUUCCUCCUAGCUGGACAGUGAUAACUUGGAAAGGUACAGUUGCUGCAUCAAGUAAGUUGUAGAGGACUUAAUUGGAUACUAGUGUCUCUCCAGGUUUUAGUGGGAGGGAUAACUGAACCUAAAGACUUUGGUAGAAUUACUGAUACUGUUAAGCCAGUAUAGAAAGUUGCUUUAAAUUGAGUGAGGGAGAUGGCUAAUUAAAAAAAAAUUUUUUUUUCUACUUAAUCUAAAAAUAAAGGUAGAAAACUGGAAUUAUUAUGGCUUCAGGGGGAAAAAAGCAAAAACUGUGUGAGGUCAGCACAAUUCUAUCAAUAACCAAGUUAGAAAAGUUGGAAAGUUAUGCUGUUUUUUCUUAGCCUCAUCUUGUUCUCAGUAAUUGCUUCCUUUCAACCAUGAAGUUGUUUAGUGUAGGAGAGAUAUUCCAGAGCUUCUCUUUAUAUUCACUGCUGCAGGAUCCUAUUUUAGCAUAAUUACAGUCUUGGAGUUGCAGAGACAGGCUCACUCUAUCUAACUGUGCAGCUGGCUUUCUCAAAUGACGAUGGGAUGCUCACUAGCUUAGCAAAGUCCAAGGCUGUGCACCAGGGGGAGGCCCUCAUGCUGAAAUUUUGCCCUUGCUUGGUCUGUAUUUCCUCCAUGAAAAUGGGGAAAUGGUUUAGAAUUAUAAAAAGCACAGUUUUUAUUCUCUUAGGGCUUUUUAAAGGGAUACACUGAGUUUAAAUGCAGGUUUCAAAAUCCUAAAUCGGAGAUUAUUCAUCUUUACAUCUCAGACUGACAUUUCAGAGUAAACACAACAAAACAGGAAAAUGAGUUUCGUAGUACUUAUCUCCUUGUCCUUCCUCUUAUAUUUCUCUUUUCUUUUUGCAAGAAAACUAAAGAAAGUCUAAAUUUGCUUGCCUUCUUUACCUGCAAGGUGCCUUCCUAUUCAGCUUGCUUAUUUUCUGUUCUUUCGAUGAUUUGAUAACCAAUAACUAUUCACACUCAACACUCAGUUAUCUCUUUAGAGACUUCUGCUUAUGUAUAUUUUGAUUUCCCUGCUUCUCAGUAAGACCAGGGCCCUUCUGGGUGAACACACUUCACCCAGAUGCAUUCUCCUCUGCCCCCAAGUCCCAUACAGUCUUCCUUAACACAAAUUCUUGCAUUCAUCUCUUUUCUCUUUCACUUAGCAUAACCUUAGUUCAGGUCUUUAUAUCUCUUUUCUCAUUUAUUACAGAAUCUUCCUAAAUGGUCCAUCUACUUCUAGGCUUUCUCUAUCCAACUUUUAAAGGUUUCAAAUCAAAUUUUUGGUAGCACCAUUCAAAGAGGAAUGAACAAAAAAGACAUACACCAUCCAUUCUGUAUCAGGUGCCAAAACUGACGCUUGGAAUGCAUAGGUGAAAGAUGCUGUCAUGAGUGGACUUUAUGUUCUGAUUCAACUGGUGUCUUUUCUAGCGCAGAGACAGGCUCCAUAUAUCAGUGGUUCUCAACUACAAGUCAUUUCUGAUUGUUCCAACUGGGGUGGAGAAAGAGGAUACUGUCAUCUAGUAUGUAGAGGCCUGGGAUGGUGCCAAGCAUCCCACAAUGUACAAGACAGCUCCCUCAAACCGAAACAGUACGACACAGAGUGCCAGUGGUGCCAAGAUGGAGAAACUGCACAUUUCAUAGCCAGUUUAUGAACUGUCCCUUCAGUUCAGUGCCGCCCGUCUCCACGUAAUCACCUCCUACUCAGUCUCCAAAGCUUACUUCAACUCCAUCUCUCCCAGUUCCCUCCCUGAAUUCCUGCAGUCCAUGGAAUUCUCCAGGCCAGAAUACUGGAGUGGGUAGCCUUUCCCUUCUCCAGGGGAUCUUCCCAACCCAGGGAUCAAACCCAGGUCUCCGGCAUUGCAGGCGGAUUCUUCACCAGCUGAGCCACCAGGGAAGCCCUUCCGUUACAUACCGCAUUUUGUCGGUCCAUCCAUCCAUCAGGGAACACUUGGGUUGCUUC